rnacentral:lncRNA from 1 species
AACCAGUUUGGUAUUCAUCAAAAAGUUAAAUAAAUAAACCCGGGGAUACAGCAAAAGGCCCCAUGUGGAGGUGAUAGACUCUUGUAUUUAAGGUAGUACUUUCAGUAGCAGAAAACUCAUAAUUCAUUAUAUGUUUCUCACCAGAGUGUGGCUUUUUCCUGACUAUGGAGUUUCUGUGCACAUCUUGUGCUUCUAGAUGUGAUCAUCAGCUGCAGAUGCGAAGAUAUAUGACCUAUCUUCUGGAAACAACAGGUAUAAGGUUUGACAAAUUGCACCUGGUUGCUGCUGACAGGCAGUGGGACUAAGGCCCUAUUAAAACAUAUUAUAUGAAUGUGUCAUCUUGGAUUGUCUUCGUAUUUUAUUCUCUACUAAGGUAU